UGGGGAAUAUUGGACAAUGGGCGCAAGCCUGAUCCAGCCAUACCGCGUGGGUGAAGAAGGCCUUCGGGUUGUAAAGCCCUUUUGUUGGGAAAGAAAUCCAGCUGGUUAAUACCCGGUUGGGAUGACGGUACCCAAAGAAUAAGCACCGGCUAACUCCGUGCCAGCAGCCGCGGUAAUACGAAGGGUGCAAGCGUUACUCGGAAUUACUGGGCGUAAAGCGUGCGUAGGUGGUCGUUUAAGUCCGUUGUGAAAGCCCUGGGCUCAACCUGGGAACUGCAGUGGAUACUGGGCGACUAGAAUGUGGUAGAGGGUAGCGGAAUUCCUGGUGUAGCAGUGAAAUGCGUAGAGAUCAGGAGGAACAUCCAUGGCGAAGGCAGCUACCUGGACCAACAUUGACACUGAGGCACGAAAGCGUGGGGAGCAAACA
rnacentral:rRNA from 1 species